GGGUUAGUACUUAGCUUCGGCAAUGUGAUUGCUGAGGAAAGUCCGCCCACUACAACCGCAAAAUCGGUUGACGCUUUGCGGGACAUUCGCUAUCGCGAAGUCCCGAGUAGCCACUCACGGAAGUGAGCUCUAGAAAAUAGAGGGCAACCACUCAGAAACGAGACCGCCUUAAAGGAGCAUGAUGUGGAGAAGGAUUUGGUGACAAAUCUGAGAUAACCCACUGACAUUCUUUUAGGAAUGGGUGAAACGGUGAGUCCUGGCUGGUGCAAGUCAAUGGUCUAGUACCAGACGCUUAGUUUAAUGCUAAGACAGGCUAUCGCAAUGCAAAUAUUGCACUUAGGGCCUGACAAAAGGCGGCUUACUCUAACCC
rnacentral:RNase_P_RNA from 1 species